rnacentral:rRNA from 1 species
GACGAACGCUGGCGGCGUGCUUAACACAUGCAAGUCGAACGGAAAGGCCCUGCUCUUGUGGGGUGCUCGAGUGGCGAACGGGUGAGUAACACGUGAGUAACCUGCACUUGACUUUGGGAUAACUUCAGGAAACUGGGGCUAAUACCGGAUAGGAUCUCCUGCUGCAUGGGGGGGGUUGGAAAGUUUCGGCGGUUGGGGAUGGACUCGCGGCUUAUCAGCUUGUUGGUGGGGUAGUGGCGUACCAAGGCUUCGACGGGUAGCCGGCCUGGGAGGGUGACCGGGCACAUUGGGACUGAGAGACGGCCCAGACUCGUACGGGAGGCAGCAGUCGGGAAUAUUGCACAAUGGGCGGGAGCCUGAUGCAGCAGCGCCGCGUGCGGGAUGACGGCCUUCGGGUUGUGAACCGCUUUCGCCUGUGACGAAGCGUGAGUGACGGUAAUGAGUAAAGAAGCACCGGCUAACUACGUG